UAGGGAAUCUUCCGCAAUGGGCGAAAGCCUGACGGAGCAACGCCGCGUGAGUGAAGAAGGAUUUCGGUUCGUAAAGCUCUGUUGUUAGGGAAGAAUGAUUGUGUAGUAACUAUACACAGUAGAGACGGUACCUAACCAGAAAGCCACGGCUAACUACGUGCCAGCAGCCGCGGUAAUACGUAGGUGGCAAGCGUUGUCCGGAAUUAUUGGGCGUAAAGCGCGCGCAGGUGGUUUAAUAAGUCUGAUGUGAAAGCCCACGGCUCAACCGUGGAAGGUCAUUGGAAACUGUUAAACUUGAGUGCAGGAGAGAAAAGUGGAAUUCCUAGUGUAGCGGUGAAAUGCGUAGAGAUUAGGAGGAACACCAGUGGCGAAGGCGGCUUUUUGGCCUGUAACUGACACUGAGGCGCGAAAGCGUGGGGAGCAAACAGGAUUAGAUACCCUGGUAGUCCACGCCGUAAACGAUGAGUGCUAAGUGUUGGUCUCAUAAGAGAUCAGUGCUGCAGCUAACGCAUUAAGCACUCCGCCUGGGGAGUACGACCGCAAGGUUG
rnacentral:rRNA from 1 species